ACAAUGUUCGUCCUUGUAGGAUGAGCGACUAAGCCCCAGGCCUCCUGUCACCGCUGAACACGAAAGGCAAGGCAAGACGACAAGUUUCACCUUUCACUCCAUAGGACAGUGCAGAAAUUACGAGAGGACUGACUGAGACCAUACGGCGUUGCGCGUAAUGAAGGGCAGUCCGAAAUAACUUGUCAACUGUAGUUAAGGCUGCGGUCGUAUGAACGUAGGGACAGAAAAUGGGGAUGGAUCUGCUCGUGACACUUCAAAUACUACCUGGUUUCUUUUCAAACUGUCUGUUCCUUGCCCUGUACGACUCCAUGGUUCUUGUGAAGCGCAUUGUGUCGUCUCUCAGCCGCUCGAGGUCCGCCGGCUCCGGAGAGUGGCGCCGUAUGUUAACCUCAGCUGGACUCCGCUCCAUCUGGAACAGCUUUCUUCUUGACGCCUACAAACAGGUGAAACUUGGCUGCGAGGCACCUAACUCCAAAGUGGUGAAAGUGCCUGAUGGCCUUCAAUGGAGCAGCAAUUUCAACAAUAUGACUCUGCCACCUGGUGCCAGAGUUCGGAAUGGUGAUGAAUGCCACCUCCUGGAUUUUGAGUCAUCAGAUCGCCCACUAGUGGUCAAUUUUGGCUCAGCCACCUGACCCCCUUUCAUCAGCCACCUCCCAGCUUUCCGGCAGCUGGUGGAAGACUUUAGUGAUGUAGCUGAUUUUCUGUUAGUGUACAUUGAUGAGGCUCACCCGUCUGAUGGCUGGGUGGUCCCUCCUAUGGGAGCUUGCUCUUUCAAUAUACGGAAGCAUCAGACCCUGGAGGAGAGGCUGGGUGUGGCACGCAAGCUCAUUGACCACUUUUCCCUGCCACCGCAGUGUCAGCUGGUGGCUGACUGCAUGGACAACAAUGCUAAUGUGGCCUAUGGUGUGUCCAAUGAACGGGUGUGUAUUGUGCAACAGAGAAAGAUCACCUACCUGGGUGGUAAGGGGCCUUUUUUUUACAAUUUGAAGGAUGUGCGGCAGUGGCUGGAACAAAGCUAUGGUAAACGGUACAAGUAAUUAAAAGUAGGACAUGUUCUCUUUCUCAUCUGGAAAAGAAGAGAACACAUGGUUUUGUAGAAGCAUAAGAGGAAAAAUCAAAAGGGGUGUUAUGGUGAUAUCAAGAAUCAAGUUCCAGAGUUGUGAAUCAACUUCUUUGACUUCUGAAAUGAGGCCAACUUUUGCCACACCAAUCCAUUGCAGCCGACAUGAACAUGUGUAAGGAUCUGCUGGAGGAAACACUGAUGAUCCACUGAUUGGAUCUGCUGGAGGAAACAUGCAAAGUUGACAGUAUAUUUCACAUUUUUUUGUAUAUAUUAUACUACAAAUAGUUUAAAAAAAUGUUUUUAUAGAGAUUUGAAUAUUACAGUUUAUCAGUGCGGUCUGAUGUUUUUAUGGACUAUGUCAACAAUUUAAUUUAUGAUCUUUAGUUACCCUCUUUUCUCUUUGAAUUAUAUGUAUGUAUAUAUGUACUGUUAUACUGUACAUACUGACCAUUGUGCUUUAUCUGAAAACUACAUAUCUUUUUACCUAUCCAUAUAGUAAGUGUGUCCCCCGUGGAAGUUCUUUAUGUUUUAUCGUUUUACAAUAUUGAAGCAAAACUUUGUUUUAGCUUUUUGACACUGAUCAACAGGAAAACACUGUGGAAUGCACCUUUAUUAAUAAUUCCAGCCUUGAGACAGUGCAGAUUUUUUGUC